GGCUUCUGGGAGUUGUAGUCCAAGUACAUCUGGGGACCCAAGGCUGGGAACCACUGCUUUAGACUUACGAGAUAUGGGAUGAUUUCUCAUGAAAUUCGUUGUUCUUGUUGAGACAGACAUGGUAUGAAGAGUUUGUUAACAUCCAUUUUGUUCACAAGACCCAUUUCCUCUCCUCCCCCCUGCAUGGAAAAUUGCCUGUGUGGAAAAUCAUAUGUAUUUUGGUGUGUGCUUUUUCUAAUGAUCACAAUUCCCGCAAAUCUUCCCCGCUGACUCAUACAUUUUGCAUAUAUUAUGUGUAUAUUUCUUUCCUCUCUCCCCCACCAAAAAAAGAUGAUGAAAAGCAAGAAGAAGAAAACUGAUGUUGACAGUUUUAGCCUGAUGUAUAAGGAAACGAAGAUAUUCACAUGCUUCUGUUUGUAUUCUGGUGGACAAGAGAGAAAAAUGUGUAAAAUAUCUCGGUUGAGGAAAGUGGCGGGUGUUGGAACAUGUCAGGAGGCUCCGCCGAUUAUAGCAGGUCCCAGAACUGCCUCGCCUGAAUUGAUGCAACUUUGUUAGAGACCCAGCCAUGAAGUAAAGUGAAAAAUCGACAGCAGCCUCGGGCGGAAAAACACUCGGGCGUUUGCUCCAUCAAAACAUCUACGCUGCCGGUAAUAGUAACAAGCAUCUGCCUCCAAGCCAGUUCUGACUUACGACAGUCCUUUUCAGGAUUUUCCAGGCAGAGAUUUUUCAGAGGCGGUUGACUUUUCGCUUCUUUCUGGGGUGCCCUGGGACUACCGUGCGGCUGGCCCAAGGCCACCCGGGUUGGCUCUUCUCCCAGUGGGGAGAAUCGAACUUGCAAAUUCUGGCUCCUCUGUCACAAACCUGAACCCCUGAGCCCUCCAGCCAGCCUUGUCAAGUCAAUUCCGACUUACGGUGACCCUUUCUAGCCAUUUUUCCUGGUAGAGAAUACUCAGAAGUGGUUCACAAUUCCCCAGGGAUGUUGGCAAGUUUUUGGGUCCGAGUUCGAAGUCUGAGUCUUUGGAACAAAGUCCCAGGCUCCCAUUCAAAACAAGCUAUCCCCCCUGCCCCCCAGGAAAAAAGGAAGGGGUGGGUAGGUUCCAAAUUGUGAGUCAAGUCAGAGUCAUUGAAAAAAUAAAAAAAGAGUCUGUGUUGAGUCA
rnacentral:lncRNA from 1 species